GACGAGGGAUCCUAGCGUUGUUCGGAAUCAUUGGGCGUAAAGCGCGCGUAGGCGGCUUGUUAAGUCGGAUGUGAAGUCCCCGGGCUCAACCUGGGAACUGCAUUCGAUACUGGCUGGCUAGAGUGUGGUAGAGGGAAGUGGAAUUCCAGGUGUAGCGGUGAAAUGCGUAGAUAUCUGGGGGAACAUCAGUGGCGAAGGCGGCUUCCUGGACCAACACUGACGCUGAGGCGCGAAAGCGUGGGGAGCAAACAGGAUUAGAUACCCUAGUAGU
rnacentral:rRNA from 1 species